rnacentral:rRNA from 1 species
UCAUGCUUUUAUAGUAUGAAAAUUGGUGAUUUAUAAUAACUUAGCAAAUCGCAAAGUGAAAACAGGCGAUAAAUCAUUCAAGUUUCUGACCUAUCAGCUUUCGACGGUAUGGUAUUGGCUUACCGUGGCAGUGACGGUUAACGGGGGAUUAGGGUUCGAUUCCGGAGAGGGAGCCUGAGAAACGGCUACCACAUCUAAGGAAGGCAGCAGGCGCGCAAAUUACCCAAUUCUAACAGUUUGAGAGAGGUAGUAACAAGAAAUAACAAUACAAGGCAGUUAAAAUGCUUUGUAAUUGGAAUGAUAGAAAUUUAAACCCUUUUUAAAGUAUCAAUUGGAGGGCAAGUCUGGUGCCAGCAGCCGCGGUAAUUCCAGCUCCAAUAGCGUAUAUUAAAAUUGUUGCAGUUAAAAAGCUCGUAGUUGAAGUUCUGCUGAAAGUAACCGGUCUGCUUUUAAUAAAAGUGGUAUCUUGGUAUGUAUUUAGCAAUGAUGUCCUUUGAAGUGUUUUUUACUUUAUUGUAAUAAAGCAUAUUCAGGACUUUUACUUUGAGAAAAUUAGAGUGUUUCUAGCAGGCUAACGCUUUGAAUACUGCAGCAUGGAAUAAUAA